rnacentral:rRNA from 10 species
GUCUACAGUCAUACCACCCUGAACGCACCCCAUCUUGUCUGAUCUUGGAAGCUAAGCAGGGUUGGGCCUGAUUAGUGCUUGGAUGGGAGACAGUUGAAG